rnacentral:rRNA from 1 species
AUUGAACGCUGGCGGCAUGCCUUACACAUGCAAGUCGAACGGUAACAGGUCUUCGGAUGCUGACGAGUGGCGAACGGGUGAGUAAUACAUCGGAGCGUGCCCGAUCGUGGGGGAUAACGAAGCGAAAGCUUUGCUAAUACCGCAUACGAUCUACGGAUGAAAGCAGGGGACCGCAAGGCCUUGCGCGAACGGAGCGGCCGAUGGCAGAUUAGGUAGUUGGUGGGAUAAAAGCUUACCAAGCCGACGAUCUGUAGCUGGUCUGAGAGGACGACCAGCCACACUGGGACUGAGACACGGCCCAGACUCCUACGGGAGGCAGCAGUGGGGAAUUUUGGACAAUGGGCGAAAGCCUGAUCCAGCCAUGCCGCGUGCAGGAUGAAGGCCUUCGGGUUGUAAACUGCUUUUGUACGGAACGAAAAGACUCUGGUUAAUACCUGGGGUCCAUGACGGUACCGUAAGAAUAAGCACCGGCUAACUACGUGCCAGCAGCCGCCGUAACAC